GUGCUAUACAUGCAGUCGAGCGGAGUUUAUCGGGAGCUUGCUCCUGAUAAACUUAGCGGCGGACGGGUGAGUAACACGUAGGCAACCUGCCCGUAAGACUGGGAUAACUACCGGAAACGGUAGCUAAUACCGGAUACGCAAGUCUCUCGCAUGAGGGGCUUGGGAAAGGCGGAGCAAUCUGUCACUUACGGAUGGGCCUGCGGCGCAUUAGCUAGUUGGUGGGGUAACGGCUCACCAAGGCGACGAUGCGUAGCCGACCUGAGAGGGUGAACGGCCACACUGGGACUGAGACACGGCCCAGACUCCUACGGGAGGCAGCAGUAGGGAAUCUUCCGCAAUGGACGAAAGUCUGACGGAGCAACGCCGCGUGAGUGAUGAAGGUUUUCGGAUCGUAAAGCUCUGUUGCCAGGGAAGAACGUCCGUUAGAGUGACUGCUAACGCACCGACGGUACCUGAGAAGAAAGCCCGGGCUAACUACGUGCCAGCAGCCGCGGUAAUACGUAGGGGGCGAGCGUUGUCCGGAAUUAUUGGGCGUGAGGCGCGCGCAGGCGGCUGUUUAAGUCUGGUGUUUAAUCCUGGGGCUCACCCCCGGGUCGCACUGUAAACUGGACAGCUUGAGUGCAGAAGGGGAGAGUGCAAUUCCACGUGUAGCGUGAAAUGCGUAGAGAUGUGAAGGAACACCAGUGUCGAAGGCGACUCUCUGGGCUGUAACUGACGCUGAGGCGCGAAAGCGUGGGGAGCAAACAGGAUUAGAUACCCUGUAGUCCACGCCGAAACGAUGAAUGCUAGGUGUUAGGGUUUCGAUACCCUUGGUGCCGAAGUAACACUUAAUCAUUCCGCCUGGGGAGACGGCCCCAAGGAUAAAACUCAAAGGAAUUGACGCGGGCCCGCGCAAGCUUGCACAAUGUGGUUUAAUACAAAGCACGCCCAAAAACUUACCCGGGGUUGAGUCCCCUGAGAGGGGAGAAAUU
rnacentral:rRNA from 1 species